rnacentral:rRNA from 1 species
UACGGGGGGGGCAAGCGUUGUUCGGAAUUACUGGGCGUAAAGGGCUCGUAGGCGGCCAACUAAGUCAGACGUGAAAUCCCUCGGCUUAACCGGGGAACUGCGUCUGAUACUGGAUGGCUCGAGUUUGGGAGAGGGAUGCGGAAUUCCAGGUGUAGCGGUGAAAUGCGUAGAUAUCUGGAGGAACACCGGUGGCGAAGGCGGCAUCCUGGACCGGCAUUGACGCUGAGGAGCGAAAGCGUGGGGAGCGAACAGG